CCCUUAGAUGUUCUGGGCCGCACGCGCGCUACACUGACGAAUGCAACAAGUCUUAACCUUGGCCGAUAGGUCUGGGUAAUCUUUGAACGCUGUUCGUGAUUGGGAUAGACCUUUGCAAUUAUGGGUCUUCAACGAGGAAUUCCUAGUAAACGCAAGUCAUCAGCUUGCAUUGAUUACGUCCCUGCCCUUUGUACACACCGCCCGUCGCACCUACCGAUUGAAUGGUCCGGUGAAAUCUCGGGACGGCGGCUUGGUCGCUUGCGUCCGACUGCUGAAACUUGAUUAAACCAUAUCAUUUAGAGGAAGGUGAAGUCGUAACA
rnacentral:rRNA from 1 species